GUGCAAGUUGUUAAGGGCGCACGGUGGAUGCCUUGGCACCAGGAGCCGAUGAAGGACGUGGGAGGCUGCGAUAAGCCUCGGGGAGCUGCCAACCGAGCUGUGAUCCGAGGGUGUCCGAAUGGGGAAACCCGGCUGGGGUCAUGCCCAGUCACCGUCAUCUGAAUUCAUAGGGUGGCGGAGGUAACGCGGGGAAGUGAAACAUCUCAGUACCCGCAGGAAGAGAAAACAACGGUGAUUCCGUGAGUAGUGGCGAGCGAAAGCGGAAGAGGCUAAACCUAUCGCGUGGAGAAGCUGGCAGGCGUUGCGCGGUGGGGGUUGUGGGAGCAUCCAGCUGGCUCUGCCAGGCCAGCGGGGAGUAAGAAACCGGUGUGGUAGUCGAACAGCCUGGAACGGUUGACCGUAGAGGGUGACAGUCCCGUAGGUGGAACUGCGCCGGCUCCCGGGUGUUGUCCCAAGUAGCACGGGGCCCGAGGAAUCCCGUGUGAAUCUGGCAGGACCACCUGCUAAGCCUAAAUACUCCCUGGUGACCGAUAGUGCACGAGUACCGUGAGGGAAAGGUGAAAAGUACCCCGGGAGGGGAGUGAAAGAGUACCUGAAACCGUGUGCCUACAAGCCGUGGGAGCCUUGCCUGCCGUGUUGACGGUGGGGUGGGGUGACUGCGUGCCUUUUGAAGAAUGAGCCUGCGAGUUAGUGGUGCGUGGCGAGGUUAACCCGUGUGGGGUAGCCGUAGCGAAAGCGAGUCCGAACAGGGCGUUGAGUCGCGUGCCCUAGACCCGAAGCGGGGUGAUCUACCCAUGGGCAGGGUGAAGCGCGGGUAAGACCGCGUGGAGGCCCGAACCCACCAGGGUUGAAAACCUGGGGGAUGACCUGUGGGUAGGGGUGAAAGGCCAAUCAAACUCCGUGAUAGCUGGUUCUCCCCGAAAUGCAUUUAGGUGCAGCGUCGUGUGUUUCGUGCCGGAGGUAGAGCACUGGAUGGCCUAGGGGGCCUACCAGCUUACCGAAGUCAGCCAAACUCCGAAUGCCGGUACGUGAGAGCACGGCAGUGAGACUGCGGGGGAUAAGCUCCGUGGUCGAGAGGGAAACAGCCCAGAGCACCAGCUAAGGCCCCUAAGCGUGCGCUAAGUGGUAAAGGAUGUGGAGUCGCACAGACAACCAGGAGGUUGGCUUAGAAGCAGCCACCCUUGAAAGAGUGCGUAAUAGCUCACUGGUCGAGUGAUUCCGCGCCGACAAUGUAGCGGGGCUCAAGCGCACCGCCGAAGCUGUGUCACUCACAUGUGAACCCAGGCCGUGGCGACACGGUCCAGGGGUGUGGGUGGGUAGGGGAGCGUCAUGCCGCGGGUGAAGCGGUGGAGUGAUCCAAUCGUGGACGCGGCGUGAGUGAGAAUGCAGGCAUGAGUAGCGAAAGACGAGUGGGAAACUCGUCCGCCGAAUGACCAAGGGUUCCUGGGCCAGGCUAAUCCGCCCAGGGUAAGUCGGGACCUAAGGCGAGGCCGCGAGGCGUAGUCGAUGGACAACGGGUUGAUAUUCCCGUACCCGUCACGGUGCGCCAGCGCCGAACCCACCGAGACUAACCACCCGAGCCCGGGGUUCUCUUCGGAGGGCCCGCGGGGGAGGCUGGGACCUGAGGUGGUAGUAGGUGAGCGAUGGGGUGACGCAGGAAGGUAGUCCAUCCCGGGCGGUGGUUGUCCCGGGGUAAGGCUGUAGGCUGCGGGGUAGGCAAAUCCGCCCCGCGUGACGGCUGAGAGCUGAUGCCGAGCCUUUCGAGGCGAAGUGGAUGAUCCUAUGCUGCCGAGAAAAGCCUCUAGCGAGUGCCGUGGCGGCCCGUACCCCAAACCGACUCAGGUGGUCAGGUAGAGAAUACCGAGGCGAUCGGGUGAACCGUGGUUAAGGAACUCGGCAAAAUGCCCCCGUAACUUCGGGAGAAGGGGGGCCCUGUCCGGUGAAGGAGCGUGCCUCCGGAGCUGGGUGGGGUCGCAGAGGCCAGGGAGAAGCGACUGUUUACUAAAAACACAGGUCCGUGCCAAGCCGUAAGGCGCAGUAUACGGACUGACGCCUGCCCGGUGCUGGAACGUUAAGGGGACGGGUUAGCCGCUCUUCGGGGUGGCGAAGCUCAGAACUUAAGCGCCAGUAAACGGCGGUGGUAACUAUAACCAUCCUAAGGUAGCGAAAUUCCUUGUCGGGUAAGUUCCGACCUGCACGAAUGGCGUAACGACUUCUCCGCUGUCUCAACCACGGACCCGGCGAAAUUGCACUACGAGUAAAGAUGCUCGUUACGCGCAGCAGGACGGAAAGACCCCGGGACCUUUACUACAGCUUGAUAUUGGUGCUCGGUUCGGCUUGUGUAGGAUAGGUGGGAGCCUGUGAAGCCCGGACGCCAGUUCGGGUGGAGGCAUCGUUGAAAUACCACUCUGGUCGAAUUGGGUGUCUAACCCGGGCCCCUGAUCGGGGUCGGGGACAGUGUCUGGCGGGUAGUUUAACUGGGGCGGUUGCCUCCUAAAAGGUAACGGAGGCGCUCAAAGGUUCCCUCAGCCUGGUUGGCAAUCAGGUGUCGAGUGCAAGCGCACAAGGGAGCUUGACUGUGAGACCGACGGGUCGAGCAGGAGCGAAAGCUGGAGCUAGUGAUCCGGCGGUGGCUUGUGGAAGCGCCGUCGCUCAACGGAUAAAAGGUACCCCGGGGAUAACAGGCUGAUCUUCCCCAAGAGUCCAUAUCGACGGGAUGGUUUGGCACCUCGAUGUCGGCUCGUCGCAUCCUGGGGCUGGAGUCGGUCCCAAGGGUUGGGCUGUUCGCCCAUUAAAGCGGUACGCGAGCUGGGUUUAGAACGUCGUGAGACAGUUCGGUCCCUAUCCGCUGCGCGCGUAGGAGACUUGAGAAGGGCUGUCCCUAGUACGAGAGGACCGGGACGGACGAACCUCUGGUGUGCCAGUUGUCCCGCCAGGGGCAUGGCUGGUUAGCUACGUUCGGGAAGGAUAACCGCUGAAAGCAUCUAAGCGGGAAGCCUGCUUCAAGAUGAGGUCUCCCACCGGCUGUGGCCGGGUAAGGCCCCCAGGUAGACGACUGGGUUGAUAGGCCCGAGGUGGAAGCACCGCAAGGUGUGGAGCUGACGGGUACUAAUAGGCCGAGGACUUGCCUAC
rfam:Streptomyces thermoautotrophicus strain H1 H1_chromosome, whole genome shotgun sequence.